ACCGCAGUAGCUCAUGGAGAGUGCCCGAUUCUUAAUCGGGAGGCGCGAGCGCGACGGCGCUUAGGUUCGAUUCCCGCCUGCGGCACCA
rnacentral:tRNA from 1 species